UCCCUGGUGGUCCAGUGGCUAAGACUCUGUGCUCCCAAUGCAGGGGGCCUGGAUCAAUCCCUGGUCAGGGAA
rnacentral:tRNA from 1 species